CUGCCAGUAGUCAUACGCUCGUCUCAAAGAUUAAGCCAUGCAUGUCUAAGUAUAAGCAACUUAUACCGUGAAACUGCGAAUGGCUCAUUAUAUCAGUUAUAGUUUAUUUGAUAGUCCCUACUACUUGGAUAACCGUAGUAAUUCUAGAGCUAAUACAUGCACCAAAUCCCGACUUCUGGAAGGGAUGUAUUUAUUAGAUUUUAAACCAACGCCUUAGCUUCGGCGGGCUUUUGGUGAGUCAUGAUAACUUGUCGGAUCGCAUGCCUUUUGAGCGGCGAUGAAUCAUUCAAGUUUCUGCCCUAUCAGCUUUCGAUGGUAGGGUAUUGGCCUACCAUGGCAUUAACGGGUAACGGAGAAUUAGGGUUCGAUUCCGGAGAGGGAGCCUGAGAAACGGCUACCACAUCUACGGAAGGCAGCAGGCGCGUAAAUUACCCAAUCCUGACAUAGGGAGGUAGUGACAAUAAAUAACAAUACGGGGCUUUCAAAGUCUUGUAAUUGGAAUGAGGAAGAUGUAAAAUUCCUUCCGAGGAUCAAUUGGAGGGCAAGUCUGGUGCCAGCAGCCGCGGUAAUUCCAGCUCCAAUAGCGUAUAUUAAAGUUGUUGCAGUUAAAAAGCUCGUAGUUGGAUUUCUGAUGGGGACUACCGGUCCGCCGCCUUUGGUGGUGUGCACUAGUGUGCUCCUCGUCAUUACUUGUGGAGAGCGCUUGCUGGCAUUCAUUUGUCGGUGGCGGGAUCUGCAUCGUUUACUGUGAAAAAAUUAGAGUGUUUAAAGCAGGCAUGUGCCUUGAAUACAUUAGCAUGGAAUAAUAAGAUAGGACUUUGGCCUAUUUUGUUGGUUUGCAAGCCAGGGUAAUGAUUAAUAGGGAUAGUUGGGGGUAUUCAUAUUUAAUUGUCAGAGGUGAAAUUCUUGGAUUUAUGAAAGAUGAACAACUGCGAAAGCAUUUACCAAGGAUGUUUUCAUUAAUCAAGAACGAAAGUCAGGGGAUCGAAGAGGAUUAGAUACCCUCGUAGUCUUGACCAUAAACUAUGCCGACUCGGGAUUGGCGGUCGUUUGUUUUGAAUGACUCCGUCAGCACCGUAUGAAAAAUCAAAGUCUUUGGGUUCCGG
rnacentral:rRNA from 1 species